rnacentral:rRNA from 1 species
GACGGGGAGGUUUGGCACCUCGAUGUCGGCUCGUCACAUCCUGGGGCUGGAGAAGGUCCCAAGGGUUGAGCUGUUCGCUCAUUAAAGUGGCACGCGAGCUGGGUUCAGAACGUCGCAAGACAGUUCGGUCCCUAUCUGUUGCGGGCGUUAGAAAUUUGAGAGGAGCUGACUCUAGUACGAGAGGACCGUGUCGGACGAACCUCUGGUGUACCUGUUGUGGCGCCAGCUGCAUCGCAGGGUAGCUAUGUUCGGAAGGGAUAAGCGCUGAAAGCAUCUAAGUGCGAAGCCCACCUCAAGAUGAGAUUUCUUUUAAGGGUCGUAGAAGAUUACUACGUUGAUAGGUGACAGGUGUAAAGAUGGUAACAUCAAAGCCGAGUCAUACUAAUUGCCCGUACGCUUUCUAUUU